rnacentral:rRNA from 1 species
GAUGAACGCUGGCGGCGUGCCUAAUACAUGCAAGUCGAGCGAACAGAUGAGGAGCUUGCUCCUCUGACGUUAGCGGCGGACGGGUGAGUAACACGUGGAUAACCUACCUAUAAGACUGGGAUAACUUCGGGAAACCGGAGCUAAUACCGGAUAAUAUAUUGAACCGCAUGGUUCAAUAGUGAAAGACGGUUUUGCUGUCACUUAUAGAUGGAUCCGCGCCGCAUUAGCUAGUUGGUAAGGUAACGGCUUACCAAGGCAACGAUGCGUAGCCGACCUGAGAGGGGGGUCGGCCACACUGGAACUGAGACGCGGUCCAGACUCCUACGGGAGGCAGCAGUAGGGAAUCGUCCGCAAUGGGAGAAAGCCUGACGGAGCAACGCCGCGUGAGUGAUGAAGGUCUUCGGAUCGUAAAACUCUGUUAUUAGGGAAGAACAAAUGUGUAAGUAACUAUGCACGUCUUGACGGUACCUAAUCAGAAAGCCACGGCUAACUACGUG